GGUCCCAUAGCUCAGUCGGAUAGAGCAACGGUUUCCUAAACCGUAGGUCGCAGGUUCGAGCCCUGCUGGGAUCACCG
rnacentral:tRNA from 1 species